UAGCUAGUUGGUGAGGUAACGGCUUACCAAGGCGACGAUCUGUAGCGGGUCUGAGAGGAUGAUCCGCCACACUGGAACUGAGACACGGUCCAGACUCCUACGGGAGGCAGCAGUGGGGAAUUUUGGACAAUGGGGGCAACCCUGAUCCAGCCAUGCCGCGUGAGUGAAGAAGGCCUUCGGGUUGUAAAGCUCUUUCGGCCGGGAAGAAAUCGCAUGGGCCAAUACCCUGUGUGGAUGACGGUACCGGAAUAAGAAGCACCGGCUAACUACGUGCCAGCAGCCGCGGUAAUACGUAGGGUGCGAGCGUUAAUCGGAAUUACUGGGCGUAAAGCGUGCGCAGGCGGUUUUGUAAGACAGGCGUGAAAUCCCCGGGCUCAACCUGGGAACUGCGUUUGUGACUGCAAGGCUAGAGUACGGCAGAGGGGGGUGGAAUUCCACGUGUAGCAGUGAAAUGCGUAGAGAUGUGGAGGAACACCAAUGGCGAAGGCAGCCCCCUGGGUCGAUACUGACGCUCAUGCACGAAAGCGUGGGUAGCAAACAGGAUUAGAUACCCUGGUAGUCCACGCCCUAAACUAUGUCAACUAGGUGUUGGGUGGGUAAAACCAUUUAGUACCGUAGCUAACGCGUGAAGUUGACCGCCUGGGGAGUACGGCCGCAAGGUUAAAACUCAAAGGAAUUGACGGGGACCCGCACAAGCGGUGGAUGAUGUGGAUUGAUUCGAUGCAACGCGAAAAACCUUACCUACCCUUGACAUGCCAGGAACUUGCCAGAGAUGGCUUGGUGCCCGAAAGGGAGCCUGGACACAGGUGCUGCAUGGCUGUCGUCAGCUCGUGUCGUGAGAUGUUGGGUUAAGUCCCGCAACGAGCGCAACCCUUGUCGUUAAUUGCCAUCAUUUAGUUGGGCACUUUAGCGAGACUGCCGGUGACAAACCGGAGGAAGGUGGGGAUGACGUCAAGUCCUCAUGGCCCUUAUGGGUAGGGCUUCACACGUCAUACAAUGGUCGGUACAGAGGGUCGCCAAGCCGCGAGGUGGAGCCAAUCCCAGAAAGCCGAUCGUAGUCCGGAUUGCAGGCUGCAACUCGCCUGCAUGAAGUCGGAAUCGCUAGUAAUCGUGGAUCAGCAUGUCACGGUGAAUACGUUCCCGGGUCUUGUACACACCGCCCGUCACACCAUGGGAGCGGGUUCCGCCAGAAGUAGGUAGCCUAACCGCAAGGAGGGCGCUUACCACGGCGGGGUUCGUGACUGGGGUGAAGUCGUAACAAGGUAGCCGUAGGGGAACCUGCGGCUG
rnacentral:rRNA from 1 species